rnacentral:misc_RNA from 1 species
UCUUGAACACCGCUUGCCAGGCUACACUCAACUCUAAUUUUUAUGAGAAAUCCUGUCCAAAAGCUCUCAGUACUACCCUCGAACUUCCAUCAGAACAGCUAUUGCACGAGAACGAAGAAUGGCAGCAUCUCUCAUUCGUCUGCAUUUUCAUGAUUGCUUUGUUCAGGCACUUAUUCUUGGGUUCUGUUAAUUACCAUUUGCACGUAGACCUACUCUAGUAUAAUGUAUGGUUUUGGAACUAAAUCUUCUCUUUUGCAGGGUUGUGAUGCCUCAAUCCUACUCGAUGAGACUUCCUCUAUCACGAGUGAAAAGACUGCAUUGCCAAGCAAAGAUUCUUCAAGAGGUUUUGAAGUCAUUGAGAAUGCAAAAUCUCAAGUAGAGAAGAUAUGCCCUGGUGUUGUAUCCUGUGCAGAUAUCGUUGCUGUUGCUGCAAGGGAUGCAACUGCAUAUGUCAGUAACCCAAUUUAAAUAUAUAUCUUCUCAAUUUAAAAAACCCAAGAACCAUCCUAUACUGUGAUGCUCGGAAGAAGGGAUUCAACUACUGCAAGCAGAACUCUAGCCAACAAGGAACUUCCUAGUUUUAGAGACGGUUUGGACAAACUUAUUACCCGCUAUCAGAAAAAGGGACUCAAUGCUAGGGACCUGGUUGCUCUGUCAGGUUGGAAACCAUUCUAGUUAAUUACUCUUAAUUACUUACAGUUAACAAUUAGCAUUGGACAUCUAUAUAUUUUGUUAAUGCUAAACUAUAUAUCCAUUUCUCCAAUUGCAGGUGCUCACACUCUGGGACAAGCUCAAUGUGCUGCUUUUCGAGAUAGGAUAUAUAGCAAUCGCAGCGACAUUGAUGCUGGAUUCGCUAGCACUCGCCGUCGUCGUUGUACUGCUGUUGGUGCUGAUGGAAAUUUGGCUCCAUUCGAUCUCGUCACACCCAAAUCUUUCGACAGCAAUUACUUCAAGAAUUUGAUCCAAAAGAAAGGCCUUAUUGAAUCAGAUCAAGUUCUUUUCAGUGGAGGUUCCACAGAUAGUAUUGUCAAAGAAUACAGCAAAAAUCCUGCAGCUUUCGACUCAGAUUUUGCUUCUGCCAUGAUCAAGAUGGGAAAUAUUAAGCCUCUCUCUGGAUCUAAAGGACAAAUCAGGAGAAUCUGCUGUGCUGUCAACAAGUAGUUUUUGUGAUGCUUCAUUUUGAAACUUGUUCAAAUUUUCUUUUUCCUAUCUUGAAUUUCAUUGAUGCGUAAUUAUUUGGUUGCUCUCAUUAGGGCAUAUUCUGCUCUUUUUUCAUAAAUUUGUCAUUCUUUG